GGCUCCAUGCCCACAUGUUCCAUGGGGUCCAAGGGGACACUCUGGGACUCCAUGUUGGAGAAAUCCUCCACAGGCUUGGCACCAUUGGUGCUGGUCAGCUGGGCUAAGCCCUCAGAACCAUUCUGGUUUGGACCCAGAAGAUCCACUUCAUUAGCAGAGUUCUGGCAAUUACCAGGGGUACGGCUAAAAUCUUUGACGUCUGCAUCAAUCCCAUUCUGCACUGGUAAACCAUUGGUCUUGUCCAUCACAUCACCCUCCUCCUUCAAAUCUCCUAGCUUAUCUCCAUCAAACGUACCCUUGUUCUUCUUUUCACCUUUGUCGUUUUCAUCACUGUCUGCAUCCCUUGGGCCAAAUCCUCCUUUUCUUAGACAGGAAUCGCCCGGGGAUGAGCUCAACACAUACUCCACCAUGCUAACGCCUAGU
rnacentral:lncRNA from 1 species